UACGUAGGGGACGAGCGUUGUCCGGAAUUACUGGGCGUAAAGGGCGCGCAGGCUGUGCUGCAAGUCAGCUGUUAAAUGUCUGGGCUUAACCCGGGCAUGCGGUUGAGACUGCAGUGCUGGAGUGCUGUAGAGGCAAGUGGAAUUCCCAGUGUAGCGGUGAAAUGCGUAGAUAUUGGGAAGAACACCGGUGGCGAAGGCGGCUUUCUGGACUGUAACUGACGCUGAGGCAUGAAAGCGUGGGGAGCAAACAGG
rnacentral:rRNA from 1 species